GCGGCCCAUCAGGUAGUUGGUAGGGUAACGGCCUACCAAGGCGAUGACGGGUAGCCGGCCUGAGAGGGCGACCGGCCACACUGGGACUGAGACACGGCCCAGACUCCUACGGGAGGCAGCAGUGGGGAAUCUUGCGCAAUGGGCGAAAGCCUGACGCAGCGACGCCGCGUGGGGGAUGAAGGCCUUCGGGUUGUAAACCCCUUUCAGCACCGACGAAUGAAGGACG
rnacentral:rRNA from 1 species